AAGGAAGGAAAUGGCGUAACUAUGAUGCACAAGUUACCGGAUAUUCUCAACCUCAGGCCUCUGAAUCAGAAACUCAACUCUGAGGAUAGGCUCAGCAACCUGUUUCAUGGAGCCCUCCAAGUAAUACCAAAGUCCGGGCAGGUUUGAGCUGUAUAUAAUAAUAAAAGUCUUGGAGUUCUCUUGUGGCGGCAGCGGGUUAAGGAUCCCAAGGUUUCCGCGUUGUCAGUGCAGCGGCUUUCAUUACCGUGGCUCGGGUUUGAUCCCUGACUCAGCAACUUCCACAUGGCUCUGGCAAAAAAAAAAAACAAACAUAAAAGGUCUUUGUGGCUACAAAAGCGCUGAUUAGGUUAUGGCAGAACCCAUUGGACAGGAGAAUGGUUUAUUUAAAACCCAUUUGGGGAGUUCCCGUCGUGGCGCAGUGGUUAACAAAUCCGACUAGGAACCAUGAGAACCAUGAGGUUGCGGGUUCGAUCCCUGGCCUUGCUCAGGAUCUGGGUUGCCGUGAGCUGUGGUGUAGGUCUGCUCGGAUCCCGCGUUGCUGUGGCUCUGGUGUAGGCUGGAGACUACAGCUCCCAUUCGACCCCUAGCCUGGGAACCUCCAUAUGCCGCGGGAAGCGGCCCUAGAAAAGGCAAAAAGACAAUAAAUUAAUUAAUUAAUUAAAACCCAUUUGGGGAAUUCCACUGUGGCGCCCUGGGUUAAGCAUCCAGCAUUGCCACAGUGCUGUGACAGGUUGCUGCAGCUGCAGCUCAGAUUUGAUCCCUGGCCCAGGUAUAUUCCAUAUUCCAAGGGUGUGGCAGGAAAAAACCCAAACCUCUUUUGUUAGCCCUUACCUGGUUUUCAUUACGUUAUGUAGGUUAAUAUCGCCUGAAGGGGAACAAGUUAUAAUCUUGGGUGAUAAGCAGAGUGGUGUGAAUACUUCCAUUUAUGUUUAAAAAGAAAUGUGCAUCAAGUGUGUAAUCUUAUGUGCUGUUUAUGGACUGAUAAACAAACCUGGAGAUUUGGAAUGAAAGCAAAAUGUUUUCACUGAUUAUGCUUUUUACUUUUUAAUCCUCUUUUUUCAUAGCAUAAAAGUUUUUUCCAAAUUAAAAAAUAUAUAUAGUUUAAAAAAGGGUAAAGGCCUGAGACACAGAGGCUAUAUGAAUGCCAGGAGAGAAUCUUCCCUGGAGGAUUGGGGUCUUGCUAGAACUUUAAGAAAGUCCUCCUCUAAUGUGGGCUAACUCUUCUGGAUUGUGACAACAUCUUGCUUCAGUGCCUUCUUGCCUUCUCUUUUCUUUUGUUUUCUUUUCUUUUCGAAGAGGUCUUAAUGUGUUCUUCUCUAUGUACACACUCAUCCCUCAUGUUGAGUCAGAUAACUAUAGAGAGAAAACCAGGACAGGUUUGUUAUGAUUGAGGUGAUAGUCAACUUGCAAGAACUGAAAAUGCUGGAGUUCCCAUGGUAGUGUUAAUGAACCCAACUAGUAUCCAUGAGGACUCAGGUUUAAUCCCUGGCUUUGUUCAAUGGGUUAAGGAUCCAGUUUUGGCAUGAGCUUUGGUGUAGAUCACAGACGCAGCUUGGAUCCCUAGUUGCUGUGGCUGUGGUGUAGCCUGACAGCUCUAAGCUCUGAUUCGAUCUCUAACCUGGGAACUUCCAUAUGGUGUGGACGCAGCCCUAAAAAGACAAAAACAACAACAAAAAAACCAAACCAAAAAAAAAAAACCUGCUGCAGAGGGCAGCAGUGUAAGGAUCUUCCUUGAAUAUUAACUUUAUAGUUGUACAAAAAUUUCUCAAAUAAUAAUAGAUGCAAACUAUUGCCUUUGGAAUGGAUAAGCAGUGAGAUCCUGCUGUGUAACAUGGGGAACUAUGUCUAGUCACUUAUGAUGGAGAAUGAUAAUGUGAAAAAAAAGAAUGUAUACAUGUAUGUGUAACUGGGUCACCAUACUGUACAGUAGAAAAUUGACAGAACACUGUAAACCAGCUAUAAUGGAAAAAAAAUCAAAAUCAUUAUACAAAAAGUUAAAAAAAAUUUUUCUCAAAUAAGAACUCUUCAUGAACCCCCUAGAUCAGAAAAUAGGUGAAGAUUUAUAGGAGUUCCUGUUGUGGCUCAGCUAUAACAAACCCAACUAGUAUACAUGAGGACUCAGGUUCAAACCCUGGUCUUGCUCAGUGGGUUAAGGAUCCCAUGUAGCCAUGAACUGUAAACUGUGGUGUGGGUUGCAGACCUGGCUCAGAUCCCACACUGCUGUGGCUGUGGUGUAGGCUGUCAGCUGCAGCUCUGAUUUGACUCCUAGCCUGGGAACUUCCAUAUGCCUUGGGGGUGGUCCUAUUGAAAAAAAAAAAAAAAAAAAAAAAGGACAGACAAAAGAUUUAUAAGCUCCAGUAUAGAUUUUUUGAUAACUCUUGUUUUCAGGAUUGCUUUUAAUCUAUCCCUCAGUGCAACAUAGAUUAUAUUUGGAAAGAAAAGAUAUAAUGAAUAUUAUUAGUUCUCAUGAAGAGAUAACAGGCACCAUUCUAAUCACUUUACAUGUAUUCAUUUAUUUUUCACUAUGAGUCUGUGUACUUUUAAAGACCAAAUGGGGAGUUUCCGUUGUGGCUCAGUGGGUUAAGAACCUGACAUAAUGUCUGUGAGGAUGGGGGUUCGAUCUCUGGCCUCGCUCAGUGGGUUAAGGAUCCAGCAUUGCCACAAGGUUGAAAAUGAGGCUCGGAUCCUGUGUUGCCAUAGGUUGAAGAUGAGGCUCGGAUCCUGUGUUGCUGUGGCUGUGGCGUAGGCUGGCAGCUGCAGCUCUGAUUCAGCCCAUAGCCUGGGAAUGUUCAUAGUGCAGCCCUUAAAAG
rnacentral:lncRNA from 1 species